rnacentral:rRNA from 1 species
AUUGAACGCUGGCGGCAUGCUUUACACAUGCAAGUCGAACGGCAGCACAGGGAGCUUGCUCCUGGGUGGCGAGUGGCGAACGGGUGAGUAAUGUAUCGGAACGUGCCUGGUAGUGGGGGAUAACUACUCGAAAGAGUGGCUAAUACCGCAUGAGAUCUUUGGAUGAAAGCGGGGGACCUUCGGGCCUCGUGCUACUGGAGCGGCCGAUAUCCGAUUAGGUUGUUGGUGGGGUAAAGGCCUACCAAGCCUGCGAUCUGUAGCUGGUCUGAGAGGACGACCAGCCACACGGGGACUGAGACACGGCCCAGACUCCUACGGGAGGCAGCAGUGGGGAAUUUUGGACAAUGGGCGCAAGCCUGAUCCAGCAAUGCCGCGUGCAGGACGAAGGCCUUCGGGUUGUAAACUGCUUUUGUACAGAACGAAAAGUCUCUGGCUAAUAUCUAGAGAUCAUGACGGUACUGUAAGAAUAAGCACCGGCUAACUACGUG